rnacentral:misc_RNA from 1 species
GAUGAAGAACGCAGCGAAAUGCGAUACGUAAUGUGAAUUGCAGAAUUCAGUGAAUCAUCGAAUCUUUGAACGCACAUUGCGCCCCUUGGUAUUCCAUGGGGCAUGCCUGUUCGAGCGUCAUUUGUACCUUCAAGCCUUGCUUGAUGUUGGGUGUUUGUCUCGCCUCUGCGCGCAGACUCGCCUCAAAACAAUUGGCAGCCGGCGUAUUGAUUUCGGAGCGCAGUACAUCUCGCGCUUUGCACUCAGAACGACGACGUCCAAAAGUACAUUUUUACACUCUUGACCUCGGAUCAGGUAGGGAUACCCGCUGAACUUAAGCAUAUCAAUAAGCGGAGGA